UGAGGUUAUAUUCUCUCUGAUAUUUGGUUCGCCUGGUGCUAUUUUUGUUCUCGUCGAAUACCGAUACGUCAAUCGUUUUUCGGCACAGUGCUUUGCGAACGGAAUUUUAAAUACGUCCCUUCAAAUUGGUCGCAGGUCCUGUCCUCACAAAUCUCGGAUAGUUGUAGGGAAACGGGCACAGCUAUUAGUAUUACUCCAUACGCCGUACGCGUGUGUCUUGUAAAUCCGGGGUAGAACCAAAUCCAUAAAUCUCGAACUGCGAAAGAAAUCAGAACGGCGA
rnacentral:sRNA from 1 species